rnacentral:lncRNA from 1 species
GAGUCAUUUUGUCUUAUCACUAGGUCAUAUUACAGAGGGGCAGCAGGAGCUGUAUUAUGUAUAUUACAUAUGUAAUAGUGUAUGAUAUUACAAUGAGAGAUACAAUCAAUCAUCUGACAACUUGGUUAUAAGAUGUCUGCCAGUACUCCAAUUCUACCAUUAUGCUUAUUGGAAAUAACAGUAAUUUAGAAUCUAGAAGAGAAGUAGACAGAGAAGGUAAAACUUUUGCGUAAGAACAUGGACUUAACUUCAUUAAAACUUCUGCUAAGAUUGCUUGCAAUGUAGAAGAGGCAUUUCUUAACGAAAGAAAUUUAUAAACAAAAUCCAAGAAGGAGUCUCUCACAUUGAUAAUGGGGCAAAUAGCAUUAAAAUUGGCCCUCAGCAUGCUGCU